rnacentral:rRNA from 1 species
GACGAACGCUGGCGGCGUGCCUAAUACAUGCAAGUAGAACGCUGAAGCGAGGAGCUUGCUCUUCUUGGAUGAGUUGCGAACGGGUGAGUAACGCGUAUGUAACCUGCCUUGUAGCGGGGGAUAACUAUUGGAAACGAUAGCUUAUACCGCAUAACAAUGGAUGACACAUGUCAUUUAUUUGAAAGGGGCAAUUGCUCCACUACAAGAUGGACCUGCGUUGUAUUAGCUAGUAGGUGAGGUAAUGGCUCACCUAGGCGACGAUACAUAGCCGACCUGAGAGGGUGGUCGGCCACACUGGGACUGAGACACGGCCCAGACUCCUACGGGAGGCAGCAGUAGGGAAUCUUCGGCAAUGGGGGCAACCCUGACCGAGCAACGCCGCGUGAGUGAAGAAGGUUUUCGGAUCGUAAAGCUCUGUUGUAAGUCAAGAACGGGUGUGAGAGUGGAAAGUUCACACUGUGACGGUAGCUUACCAGAAAGGGACGGCUAACUACGUG